rnacentral:rRNA from 1 species
AUGCCAUACCCAAUCCACCGCCAUCCUCUUCCCAGUGACCUCCAACCUCAUCGCCGGCAGCCCCUCCCCUUUCCUCCUAGAUCGACUCGAGCUGCUCAUGUCGUGGCCAGAUCUGGUAGGAACUCCCUCCCUCCCACCUCGUUCUGCAUCCCGGUAGUGAUGGCGCAGUCCGGCAACAGCGACGCCGCUCCGAUCAGCACCCAGCCCGCGGCGGAGGAGGUGACGGUGGAGAGGAUGCCCGAUGAGGAGGCGGCCAGGCUGAGGCACCUCGAGUUCGUGCAGCAGGCGGCGGCACAGGCGGUCGUGCUGGCGGCCACGGCCUAUGCCUACGCCAAGCAGGGCGCCGGCCCACUCCUCCCUGGCGUCGACCACGUCGAGGGGACGGUCAAGGCCGUCGUCGGCCCCGUCUACGACCGCUACCACGCCAUGCCGCUCGAUCUCCUCAAGUUCCUCGACCGCAAGAUGAUUUCCUUCAUUCAUGUUUCAACGUGA